AUUGAACGCUGGCGGCAGGCCUAACACAUGCAAGUCGAGCGGAUGAAGGGAGCUUGCUCCUGGAUUCAGCGGCGGACGGGUGAGUAAUGCCUAUGAAUCUGCCUGGUAGUGGGGGAUAACGUCCGGAAACGGGAGCUAAUACCGCAUACGUCCUGAGGGAGAAAGUGGGGGAUCUUCGGACCUCACGCUAUCAGAUGAGCCUAGGUUGGAUUAGCUAGUUGGUGGGGUAAAGGCCUACCAAGGCGACGAUCCGUAACUGAUCUGAGAGGAUAAUCAGUCACACUGGAACUGAGACACGGUCCAGACUCCUACGGGAGGCAGCAGUGGGGAAUAUUGGACAAUGGGCGAAAGCAUGAUCCAGCCAUGCCGCGUGUGUGGAGAAGGUCUUCGGAUUGUAAAGCACUUUAAGUUGGGAGGAAGGACAGUAAGUUAAUACCUUGCUGUUUUGACGUUACCAACAGAAUAAGCACCGGCUAACUUCGUG
rnacentral:rRNA from 1 species